rnacentral:rRNA from 1 species
CCUACGGGCGGCAGCAGUGAGGAAUAUUGGUCAAUGGACGGAAGUCUGAACCAGCCAUGCCGCGUGCAGGAAGACGGCUCUCUGAGUUGUAAACUGCUUUUGUACAAGGGUAAACCUGAAUACGUGUCUUCAGCUGAAAGUACUGUACGAAUAAGGAUCGGCUAACUCCGUGCCAGCAGCCGCGGUAAUACGGAGGUUGCGAGCGUUAUCCGGUUUUAUUGGGUUUAAAGUGUGCGUAGGCGGACUGUUAAGUCAGAGGUAAAAGCCCGGGGCUCAACCCCGACGAGCCGUUGAAACUGGCUGUCUUGAGAUGUCGAGAGGUAUGCGGAAUGCGCAGUGUAGCGGUGAAAUGCUUAGAUAUUGCGCAGAACUCCGACGGCGAAGGCAGCAUACCGGCGGCGAUCUGACGCUGAGGCACGAAAGCGUGGGUAGCGAACAGGAUUAGAUACCCGAGUAGUC